ensembl:lncRNA
GCGGGCUGGGCUGUUACCUCGGCUUCGGGCUGGGUCUGGAGCUGUCCGGGGAAGCCUAGCAUCCUGGCUGGGUUGCUGGGGUGGAGAUUAUGCUGGAGCAGCUGGACUGGCUCAGGAGGUCUCUGGUGUCUGUGAACAGAUUGUGUUUCUUCAGCCUGGCUGCCUCCUCCACCACUGUAGAGCAAACAGAGACAUGUUUAAAAGCACGCGCACUAAUAAUAUUGGUGUGGGUGAGCAGAGAGAGUAACAUUGUAGUAAUACCUAAAAUAUGUAUUACAAUUGAAUACGAUACAAAUGAAUAACUCCAAUAUCUAGCAGAAACAAUACCUUUGAUGACUUCCUUGUCCAGACUCUGCAGCAAAAUGCCCUCAUAGAUAUUGUGAACAUGGACAAAGUUGGAAUAGUCUGCAUAGAUGAACUGUUUAAGACCCUGCAGCUCCUAAAGACACAGAAACAACCAUUUCAACCUGCGAUUUUCUAAACAAUAAUGAGAUUUCAGGACACAAAAAAUAUGUAAAGGCCUGUGCUCUCAAAACACUUAUUUUGGGGCAGUAUAAUUUAUGCUGGCUUUCCCCCUAUUUUCUUGAGGGUUUUGAAGGCUAGCUGAGAGACUCACUGUUUUGCAGCAAGACCCUCUGUCAUCUACUAGUGCGACCAUCACUGGUGCAGUGAGACCCUCUACAACGUCUACAUCAUCCACAAAUAUGACCACCACCGGUGCAGCCAUGGAAGAUGAUGAAAUGGAGGAAGCACCGCUGGAUCUCGGACCACCUGAGAUUAUUAUGACCCUCACGGAAGUGACCACUGAGGACCUUGUUGAACAGGAUGUGGCCGUGGAGACAAACGAGGAGAGACACGAAGAGGAACAAAGCCACACCAGGCGCCAUCGGCGGUACCAGCCCCCAGAUCCACUCAUUUCAGCAGAGGCACCUCCAAGCUGUCAAGAGGGAUACAGCCCAACCUGAUGCUCACAGGAAGGAGGAGGAAGAGACCCUCUUUGCCAUCAGCCUGGUGACAACCCUAAAGAGGCUGCCUCAGCAAAGAAAAGCAGCAGUCAAGAGAUGCAGUCAAUUUAGCUGACCAGCUCACAGGAAGGACAGGAAGAGGUGAGCUGUCUGGUUGUUGUUUUGACCUUCUCCUCCAAUGGGUUUUGAGCAGGAGGUGAGGAGAGGACGCGAGGAAUCAAGGAAAUGCAACUGAUAUUUUCCAAGGGUCCUCACUUGAGAUUUUCUAACUUAUUCCGCUUACUAAUGUCCUUUCUUAGUAGGCUUUUUAGUAUAAAAUUAAUGGAAUUCAUAAAGUAAAUAGUUUCUCAAUACUUACUGUAGGACAGCAUUCAUUAUUCGUUGUACAUAGAUUGCAUGAAAAUUGACUGAAUUGAAACUGACACACCGGAGAAUUCAGAUGCUCUUGUUGUUCUUUUACAAGACUGAAGGUGAAAUGUGUGUUUACCUGUAUUGUGGCUACACAUUCACAGACAGCCCUGCCCUCUCUCUCUUUAUGGCCAUGUCUGAAGUUCCCCUACUAUGUCUAGGCUUUAUGAAUUGUCCCUGUAUCUGUCUGCAGUUGUGCAUGCUCUUGCUCUUGUUGUUCUCUUACAGAUUACAGGCUACACAAACAUUUUUGUAUUUUUACACGCACAUACAUGGACACACACCUCUUUCAAUAGUUAUUUUAUUUUUGGUAACAUUUCUACAACACACAUACCUGUCGUGUUCUUUCCUGC